rnacentral:snRNA from 1 species
GUGCUCGCUUCAGCAGCACAUAUACUAAAAUUGGAACGAUACAGAGAAGAUUAGCAUGGCCCCAUGAGCAAGAAUGACACUCAAAUUUGUGAAGCGUUCCAUAUUUUU